UCAAGAUGUUGGAAAACCCUAAUAUCUUCCAUCAGCCGUCAUUUCUCCACAUAUCUUCCGUCACCCUCCUAAUAUCAAGAUGUUGGUUUUUAUUUUGUUUUUUUUGUUUCUAAUAUAUGUGGAAAUAUUGAACAAACUAGCCAUUUGAUGCUCAUCUUGGUCUUUCUAAAAGUAUCCCCGUUCAUAUCUUUGAUUUUUCUGAAAUUUUGCAGAUCAUUUGUUUCUAGGUCUAUUCAAUGUCUGUCAUGAGCUUCAGUUUCAAUUUUAUAAUCUACAGGAAGGACAUUGAGUCUCUCUUUCUCUCUCUUUAACUGUUUGUUUGUUUGUUUGUUUGUUUAUACAGGUCCUAACUUUGGUGUUUGUAUCUUUGACCUUCCACGAAUAACGCAGACAAAGAAACCCUGAUGUUUGCAUCUUGGAACCCUCCAAUUAAAUACUGAGGUGAAUGCUGUUGAGUUUUCUCAUCCAUUAUGUUUCUUGAAUAAAAGGUUAUUCAAAACUGCGUGCAGGUCUAUGUUCGAAUGGUUGAAGAGUUUCAAUAAUGGAUUUUGUUUCUAAAGGUUUAAACUUUAAAUUAUAACCAGAAUUCAUACUUCCUGGUUUUAUUCAGUGUUGGUCGAUUUUGCCUCUGGGUUUGAUGUUACUGGUGAGGUCAUUUAGUUGAAAUUUGGUAAAUGAUAUUUGUAACUUAUCCAUUCUUUAUCACAAGAAAAGGGAAGGAUAGUCUAAUGUACAAAAUACACAAAUGUUUAUCAUUUUUCUUUAUUUCCUGCAAAGUGCAAUGAAAUAAGUAAAGCUAACUAAAGAUUACCAUUUAUGUACAAAAUCCAGGUUGAGGAGAGAAGGUACACAAAGCAAUUUCAUGACUAAUACCAUAAUGGUGUUCUUUGUUAUCAACCAUCAUACAAAAAUAUGAAUGCUUGAACCUCUUGACGAAAUCAGAAAGCAGAGUUUUGUUGAACAUUUAUAUUUGGUUUUAAGUACUUGGAAAGACCUAAUAUUUGGAUCCAAAAAAGGUAGGCUGGAAGAUUUAUGUAUUUCCAUGUUCUUUUUAUGUAUUUAAGAGUGCAAUAGUAGAAAAAGGCAGCAACAAAGAGGUAUUUGUUUUUAUGUUAAA